UGAAAAUCAAAAGCAACCGGAGCUUGAGAAACACUUUGGACUUUUCUUUCCAAAUAAACAGCAAAAAUAUAAUCUCAAGCUCCGGUUGCUUUUGAUUUUCAAUUUCCGCUGAUUACAAUGCAACAGUACUUUUACUUAAAGAGUGAUAUUUAAGAUAUUGUGAAAAUUUAAGUGCUAUAUGUAUUUCCAAUGUAAGCAUGUAUCCAUAUACUCCAUCUGUCCACUUGUUUUUUUAAAAAACCAAUACAUAAAUAUUAACGAAAC
rnacentral:misc_RNA from 1 species